AUUGAACGCUGGCGGCAGGCCUAACACAUGCAAGUCGAGCGGAGCGGCGGACGGGGGAGUAAUGCCUAGGAAUCUGCCUGGUAGUGGGGGAUAACGUCCGGCAACGGGCGCUAAUACCGCAUACUAUCAGAUGAGCCUAGGUCGGAGUAGCAAGUUGGUGUGGUAAAGGCAUACAAAGGCGACGAUCAGUAACUGGUCUGAGAGGAUGAUCAGUCACACUGGAACGGAGACACGGUCCAGACUCCUACGGGAGGCAGCAGUGGGUAAUAUUGGACAAUGGGCGCAAGCCUGAUCCAGCCAUGCCGCGUGUGUGAAGAAGGUCUUCGGAUUGUAAAGCACUUUCAGUUGGGAGGCGUUACCAACAGAAUAAGCACCGGCUAACUUCGUGCCAGCAGCCGCGGUAAUUC
rnacentral:rRNA from 1 species